UACGUAGGGGGCGAGCGUUGUCCGGAUUUAUUGGGCGUAAAGAGCUCGUAGGCGGUUUGGCAAGUCGGGUGUGAAAACUCCGGGCUCAACUCGGAGACGCCACUCGAUACUGCCAUGACUCGAGUCCGGUAGGGGAGUGCGGAAUUCCUGGUGUAGCGGUGAAAUGCGCAGAUAUCAGGAGGAACACCGGUGGCGAAGGCGGGUCUCUGGGCAACAACUGACGCUGAGGAGCGAAAGCGUGGGGAGCGAACAGG
rnacentral:rRNA from 1 species